GUGCCAGCCGCCGCGGUAAUACGGAGGGUGCAAGCGUUAAUCGGAAUUACUGGGCGUAAAGGGCGCGUAGGCUGCCGAUCAAGUCAGAUGUGAAAGCCCACGGCUUAACCGUGCGAAGUGCAUCUGAAACUGGUUGGCUUGAGUAUCGGAGGGGAAGGUGGAAUUCCCGGUGUAGAGGUGAAAUUCGUAGAUAUCGGGAGGAAUACCGGUGGCGAAGGCGACUUUCUGGACGAAUACUGACGCUGAGGCG
rnacentral:rRNA from 1 species